UGAAAAAAGGAGAAAAAAAAAAAAAAGAAAAAGCGGAAUCAAAAUCAAGUCAAAGAAUUGAAA
rnacentral:ribozyme from 1 species